rnacentral:tRNA from 1 species
GCCUGGGUGGCUCAGUCGGUUAAGCGUCCGACUUCAGCUCGGGUCACGAUCUCACGGUCUGUGAGUUCGAGCCCCGCAUCAGGCU